UGUUAUUAUUAUUAUUAUUAUUAUUAUUAUUAUUAUUAUAUUGUUAAUUACUUGGAGAUAGGUUUUCUCUGUGUAGCCCUGGCUGUCCUGGAACUUACUACGCAACCCUGGCUGGCUUUGAACUCAGAGUCCUUCUACUUUCUGCUUCCAGAGUGCUGGGAUUUAAGGCAUAUGUCAACAUUACCUUAAAUUUUAUUUUAAUCUUAUUUCAUUUUAUUUUUUUACAUUUCAUAUAGUCCAAGCUGGUUUCGAACUCAAUGUAGUUGAUAAUGUAAAGAUAAACUUGCAGUCCUGAUUAUUGUGCCUCCUCCCAAAUUAUAGGCUUACGUGUUUGCCAAUCUGCUAGCCUCUGAUGAGGUUUCAAUAAAAAUAAAACCGUUGUGAUUAAACUCUGUGAAAUUUACUCUAACUUCAUUGGCAUGGGACGAAGAAGAGUUAGAUGGCAGGAGUUCAAUUUAAAACUUUGAGCCAGUGAUCAUGUUUUCUGGACAAGAAUAGCGGAUUACUCCUAAGAGGAAAGAAAACAGCCUUUCAGCGCUAUCAGGAGCUGAUAGGGCCCUGGAUAUUUGAUUUCACGAGAAAGUUGCAGGGCAUGCCCAUUCAAAUUUCUUCCAACAAAUCACAAAGGCUUGUGGACAAUUCCUUAUUCGUUCAUAGGUCAAAUGGAAACCACAGCCUACCUACCUCCCGCCUCUCACAAGGGAGCCAAUAGGGAAAACUCAGGUUUCAUCAUCAAGUACUGUACUUGCUAUUGGCUGAUUGAGCUGUCAAUCUAGGGAAGGCGGGCCAGGCCGAACUGUCCUAUUUAAGAAGAGGACAAAGGCGGCGCGCAGCUUCUGUCGUCCGCCAUUUUGUGCUAAGCAAGGUGGCAACCACGUUCCCUGAGCGACUUCUCCGCUUCUGCCUCGACCGCCCCUUGACUACAGAUAUGUCUCGGGAUCGGUUCCGGAGCCGCGGUGGUGGUGGUGGAGGCUUUCAUCGGCGUGGAGGAGGCGGUGGCCGCGGCGGCCUCCACGACUUCCGCUCUCCGCCGCCUGGCAUGGGCCUCAACCAGAAUCGCGGCCCCAUGGGCCCCGGCCCUGGCGGCCCGAAGCCACCGCUCCCGCCUCCACCUCCGCACCAGCAGCAGCAGCAACCUCCGCCGCAGCAGCCCCCGCCGCAGCAGCCUCCACCGCACCAGCAGCCGCCGCCACACCAGCCGCCCCAUCAACAGCCCCCGCCUCCGCCGCAGGAAUCCAAGCCCGUCGUCCCGCAAGGCCCCGGCUCGGCGCCCGGAGUGAGCACUGCGCCGCCUCCGGCGGUCUCGGCCCCGCCCGCCAACCCCCCUACCACCGGCGCCCCGCCGGGCCCGGGUCCUACCCCGACUCCGCCGCCCGCAGUCCCCUCUACUGCCCCCGGACCGCCUCCCCCUUCCACGCCGAGCAGCGGAGUCUCAACAACGCCUCCACAGACCGGUGGCCCUCCGCCACCGCCCGCCGGGGGCGCCGGUCCAGGGCCUAAGCAAGGCCCAGGCCCUGGCGGUCCCAAAGGCGGCAAGAUGCCGGGUGGGCCUAAGCCUGGCGGUGGUCCGGGCAUGGGCGCUCCUGGUGGCCACCCGAAGCCACCUCACCGAGGUGGCGGGGAGCCCCGUGGGGGCCGGCAGCACCACGCGCCCUACCACCAGCAGCACCAUCAGGGCCCCCCUCCCGGCGGCCCGGGACCUCGCACAGAGGAAAAGAUAUCCGACUCGGAGGGAUUUAAAGCCAACUUGUCUCUCUUGCGGAGGCCUGGAGAAAAAACUUACACACAGCGCUGUCGGUUGUUUGUGGGGAACCUACCUGCUGAUAUCACAGAGGAUGAAUUCAAAAGACUGUUUGCUAAAUACGGAGAACCGGGAGAAGUUUUUAUCAACAAGGGCAAAGGGUUCGGGUUCAUUAAACUUGAGUCAAGAGCCUUGGCUGAAAUUGCCAAAGCUGAACUUGAUGAUACCCCCAUGAGAGGUAGACAGCUACGGGUUCGGUUUGCCACACAUGCUGCAGCCCUGUCUGUUCGGAAUCUUUCUCCUUAUGUAUCCAAUGAACUUUUGGAAGAGGCCUUUAGCCAGUUUGGUCCUAUUGAAAGGGCUGUUGUAAUUGUGGAUGAUCGUGGAAGAUCCACGGGGAAAGGCAUUGUUGAAUUUGCUUCGAAGCCAGCAGCAAGAAAAGCAUUUGAAAGAUGCAGUGAAGGUGUUUUCCUACUGACAACGACUCCUCGCCCAGUCAUUGUGGAACCACUUGAGCAGUUAGAUGAUGAAGAUGGUCUUCCUGAAAAACUGGCCCAGAAGAAUCCAAUGUAUCAAAAGGAGAGAGAAACGCCUCCUCGUUUUGCUCAGCAUGGCACAUUUGAGUAUGAAUAUUCUCAACGAUGGAAGUCUUUGGAUGAAAUGGAAAAACAGCAAAGGGAACAAGUUGAAAAAAACAUGAAGGAUGCAAAAGACAAGUUGGAAAGUGAAAUGGAAGAUGCCUACCAUGAACACCAAGCAAAUCUUUUGCGCCAAGAUCUGAUGAGACGCCAGGAAGAAUUAAGGCGCAUGGAGGAACUUCACAGUCAAGAAAUGCAGAAACGUAAAGAAAUGCAGUUGAGGCAAGAGGAGGAACGGCGUAGAAGAGAGGAAGAGAUGAUGAUUCGCCAACGUGAGAUGGAAGAACAAAUGAGACGCCAACGAGAAGAAAGCUACAGCAGGAUGGGCUACAUGGAUCCAAGAGAAAGAGACAUGAGAAUGGGUGGUGGUGGAACAAUGAACAUGGGAGAUCCCUAUGGUUCAGGAGGCCAGAAAUUUCCACCGCUAGGUGGUGGUGGUGGCAUAGGUUAUGAAGCUAAUCCUGGAGUUCCACCAGCAACCAUGAGUGGUUCCAUGAUGGGAAGCGACAUGCGUACUGAGCGCUUUGGGCAGGGAGGUGCGGGUCCUGUGGGUGGACAGGGUCCUAGAGGAAUGGGGCCUGGAACGCCAGCAGGAUAUGGUAGAGGGAGAGAAGAGUAUGAAGGGCCAAAUAAAAAACCCCGAUUUUAGAUACUUAGGCUUUCAUUCCAGUUUGGUUUUGUCUUCUUGUUUAGAUACCACUUAAAUUCUUGGCAUUUUAGUAAGAAAGCUACCUUUUUAUGGAUGUUAGCAGUUUAUUGACCUGAUAUUUGUAAAUGGCCUGUUUGGGCAGGUAAAAUUAUGUAACGCAGUGUUCGAAACAGGAGAAAAAUUUUUUCAUUUACUUUUUUUUUAACUGUAUAAUGUUUCUCAAGUUAAUGGCAGUGUACCUUGUGCCACUGAAUUUCCAAAGUGUACCAUUUUUUUUUUACUGUGCUUCAAAUAAAUAGAAAAAAAUAGUUAUGAGACUGAUCUCCAACUUUGCUAUCCAUGCUUCUAUGCACAUUAGGCUAGGUAUUUCACUUGGAAAGCAUGAGCGUGUGUAGGCCUGAGUGGCAUAUGCCAUUUCUGGGAAAUGUAACUGGAGGCUAAGUAUUGUUUUCUACAAAUGGUGGCCCCCCCUUGUUUAAAAAGAAAUGCAUAUUGAAGUAAUUAGGAUUUGUUUGGCAUUAUAGGAAACAGGCUGGUGCUCAGCAUUUUUUAAUGGUUAUAUUAGAAAAGUUGAACUGUAAGUCUUAAUUCAGGCACACGUAUUAAGAUUAUGGAAUGGGUGAAAACUACUGGUAGUGAGAAAGGGGGUUUGGUUAAACGGAUCCCUUAUGGCCCUAUCUAUGAUUCUUUCCUUGAAAGGCUUUGAAAAUGGAAAGAUAAUCUUGUUGCGUUUCCCCAUAUUGUUUUGUUUUAAAAAGAAAACAACCCAAGCCCUACAAAUGGCUUGUACUGAACUUUUGCAUUUGAAUUAAAGAUUGUUAAACAUGAAGCCUUUUCAUGUAUUACUUCAAGUGAUUUAAAAGACGGGAUUUAGUUGGGAGUUUUAACUUGAAGAGUUAAGGGUUAGUAGUUAACUAUAAAGUUUAGCCUUAUGUAUGCCUCCUUGUGUUGCUUCUAGUGAGCAAAAUCUGUAGUCUGAAAGUGUUGGUUCUCUUGGAGAACUAGUGGUGACUGUUACCAAGUAGGACUGCCAAAUCUUCUCACUAUGGAGCUGAACUGUUUACAUCAGUCUUAUAGUGUAGUACCAAACCCGGAGAGAGUUGCUCAGGCUGCAUAGUAAAAAUACUCUUUCCUCCACCAUAAGCUUGGGGAUGUUUCCAUGAUGUCAGUUGAUUGUCAACUUCAUUGAAUUUCCUUUCAUUAGAACAAGAGACUUUCUGACUUGAUGAUAAUAAUAAAGUGUAGAUUGCUUACUGUUGUUUAUGAGUAUAAUGGGAGCUUGAUUUCUUCCCAGUGUAAAUAUGUAAGAGGAAAAACUAACAGUACGGAAGUAAUUGAAUAGCUUGGCUCUGUUCUUAGUUACAUUUUCAUUCAAGUCUACAUUGUAGAACUUUCACUGUGAAAUGUCUUCAUCCCUUCCACCUCUAUCCUUGGUGCUAAUUGGCGAAAGAAAUCCUAAAUCACUUGCUGAGGUCGAGUUCUGUGCUUGAGUACAAAAGGAGACCUAUUGUGGAAACAAUCGAGUACUUCAUGCAUAGAAACGUUGGAAUUUUUGAAAGCAAAACACUACUGGAUUAUAAAAAGCAUGUCAUCAAAUGGUUGUAUGACUGACAGGUUUAUAGUGUGUAUUAAGGGGAAAAAAACUUUAGAAAGUACAUUCAUUUUUUAAUCACCAGUACACUUGGAAAUAGGUAGUUCUAUUAUAAUCAUAGCAAUCAGAAAGUUAUUGGCCCAACUGAAGUUAAUAAUUGUAUGGAAACAAAGGUCUGGAUUUGAAGGAGCUCUUUUGGUUGAAUUGUAAUAGUAGGGACCAUAAUAAUGAGAAAAUUGAGGGGUGUUCAUGGGACACCCAUAGAGGGUGAAUUUGAAUGUAUAUGGGUGGGGGCUGGAGGGGAAAUGGGAAAAUCUGCCUAUAAAAUUAAUGUUUCAGUUUAUUUUUCAGAUUACAUGCCUUUCUUUAUAAGGGAUGCUGGCACAGACCCUAAGAUAAGCUUUUGGUAGUAGUAUACCCUUGAAGAGUGCUGAAAGGAUGCUUAGGGAUAAUUUCCUCAGACUGUGGCUUUUGAUAGCCUUUACUGGGGGCUGUAGAGCUGCUAAACAGUGUUUAGCAGAGAGGCUGCAUAGUGUCAACCAACACUGACUCUGAUCAGUGAAACUGCACCAAGGGUUGUAAGCUGCUGAGACUUUCAUUGAGUCUUACAUGUGAUGGUUUUAGCCUGCUAGUGAUUUUAAAUCAUCUUGAACAGUUGAACCAAAAGCUAAAAGGGAAACUUAGGGUGGGAGGGGAGGUUGUCAGGAUGUAGUUUAGACAUUUUCCCUUUGAAGAAACCACUUGCCCCAUUUCCUCCUCCACUUUUAUCAAAAUUUUGUUUACAGAGGACACUUGGAAAAUUUCUCCUUUUAAAGUUACAUUCUAUAAGAGUAUAUUUAAUAGGCCUGCUAUAAGCUGAACCUAUUGACAUCUUUAUGUGGUGAGACUUACCUUAAAACCCACCACUCUGUUUUGUACCACUAAUAUAAACAUAAUUUGGGAAAUUGUAAUGUUACACCUGUGCAAUUCUUACAAGUGGCAUAUCAUGGCAGAGAAAAAUUUAGGUACUUGGCUUGGACAAGCCAUAAAGUUGUGGCGGAAUGUUUUGUGGUGUUCUUGGACUGCAAUUGUGCACUAUUAAAGUAGUGGCCUGCUACAUAACUGCAUUUAGCCAGCAUUUCUGCAGUGCGUAACUGUGAGGAACGUAGUACCGCAAAUGGCAAUGGACAUUAGGACCCGGAUGUAGUAUUCCUGCUUGCUCCAAGAUUCUCAUUGCCGACUGCAUACAGGUAGGUAACAAGCAAUAUAAUCUAACUUGGUGACUUGCUAUGUGCUUUUAUUCAGUGGCAUUCUGACAUCACACUUCUGACAGUGAAAUUACAGUGCAGCACCUAAUACUUGUAUGAUAAGCUAGGUUAGUUCAAAAUCUGGGUCUGGGGUUAGAUCUGUAAUUUGUUAGUAAGAACUCAGUGUUGUAGUUCUCAAAAGUGCAAACUUGAAUCCUUGUGUCUUGACUCAGUUUUGUGGUUUUCUUUAGUUACAUUGUAACUGAAGAGAAAACAGCAACGCAGCUGGUUGGUGGGUGAGGGAACCAAACCAUACUGACCUGGGUGCUCAGAGUACCUUGGCGAAGACUGUAGCAUGCGGAAAUUACUCUCCUUAGUAGCAAACAUGACCUCUUCAUCGGUCAGCAAUGUCUAAUUUCAUUACGCAAUCUCGAUAGCACUGCAAGUUGAGUGAAAUAGGACUAAAUGACAUGGGGUGGUGGAUUUUUUUCUGGGUUUUCUUUUUGUAAUGUGAUCAAAAAUUUCCAGGUUUGGGCUUCAUGGGAAGACUUGUUACUAACUUGGGCUUAGAUGGGAAUCUUAUGAAUAGUUCAAGUUCUGUGGCUUGUCUGAAUAUGUUUAUACUCCAGACUUGGGGGACACUAGUGCGAAACAGUGGCUUAACAUGUUGGGAAUCAUUCCCCACCAUAAGACUUCGUCGUCUUCUGUAGAGUGAGUGCAUUGUUCAGAGUAGCUCUUUGAACUUCCCUAGCUUUAGGGAUGUGAUUGAUUAUAGUCCAAAAUGUUUAAUAAUCACAGGAAUACGUAAGUCUUCAAAGCACCUUCCUUGUUGCUUAGGACUUGAACUUUCUAUCAACUGUUGUUCCAGACCUCAAUUCAGUUAGCCUUGGUAUUUAACUAGCAUGCAUGAGAAAACAGCUACCACUUGUAAUGCUUUCUGCUCUAUAACUGGAAGGUUUGGUUCAUUUUUGCAUACGUACCGCUGAAAGCUUCAGGACUGUGAGAAUUGCCUUUCGAUGAAUCAAGAACAAUGGCUUGCUAUCAGGCUGUCAUGGCGGGGCAGUUACUCUAGCAAGCAAUUGUGAUUGCUGAUGGGUGAAAGCAAUAUGGUGACUUAGCUUCUUCUACAAUGUAGAUCAAACAAUGUGACAUGAGUAUCACUAACCUCCCUGAAACCCUGCUGGGGGCAUUGAAGUGUCAUAGUCUAUUAAAUCGGUAGCACGUGCUUGUUACCGUGGCUCAGUGAUUUUGAAUGUUAACAAAAGCUCAGGCUUCUGAACAGAAACAAAUUGAAGAGACUAUAUUUGAACACGGACUUGGGAUGGGGUGAUUCCCCCCCCCCCUUCCUUGGUCUGCUUUAAGAUUAGACUUUUGUACAUGCUAGUUAAUUUGAAUGUAGGUGUAAGCUGUGGAUUUUAUAGUAUAUUGGGUUUUUAAAACACUCAAAAACCUGGGAUUUAAAUGGGUUCCAGUAAUACUAUAUACUAAGGUGCUUGCAUUGUAUUUCAUAAAUCUUGUUGCAUCCAAAAUUAUUAUUUUUUUUUUAAUGAAAACUAAGUUCAGAGGUGUGAUGCCAGAAUGUAUUAUCAUACUGUUAGGCCCUUGGAGCAGAUCCCGGUGCUUUCUGAAAGAUGAAAGUAAUGUAAUGGGUACUCUUCAUCCAGGGCUGCUUGCAGCCUAUCAGCAAUGCAUACUCUGACUCUCCCUAAUGAAGAGAUGCGUGUGAUUAGUUUUGGUCUUUAACCUUAAUGGGGGUGCAUGUCUCCUAUUGUUAAUCAUUGUCAGCUGCAGUGACAGGAUCCACAGUCCUGCAUUUACUGCUGCCUUUUGUGUUAAUGAUUUUGGACAGGUUUUAGAGUUCUGGGGUGUUUGUUCUGGCCCUUUUCUUGGUUUUGGCUUUAGCUGAUAAUGUUUAGUGCUGUCUAGCUAGUGCAGUUCUUAAUGGCUCCCCACUAGGGAGAGAAUAUGGAGGAUUUAACUGCUCCUUUUUAUCAUCUGUCAUUGCUGCUAGAUAAUGAUUGGCAAUUUUUUAGACUCAAAUGUGCAGACCUCAACAGCGAUUGGUAAACACCAACCUUAGAAAUGUUUUUGAACACCAGUGCUGGAGAAAAAAAUGAAGGUGAAAUGGGCUCGGACGUAGACUAGGGAUAAUUGGAGAAAGGGGAAAGAAUGCAAAACGAUAUAGUAUCCCUUAUGGAUGGUCCAUGUGCAACAGAGAACUAUUUGUAUACCUGUGGCAGUAAUGAUUCCGGUGGGGGGGCUGGGAGAACAACCUGGAACUUGAAUUUUAAGGAUGAGCUUUGUGUUUCUUGUGCCUGUGCCAGGUAUAUAGUGAAGGCUAAUGACUUCUCCCUUAGAAGAACCUUUUUUUUUUUUCCUUCUCUGCUGUCCCAAUAAUGCAUAGAUGAGGCCUUGGAAGACAAAAAUUGAAGCAAAUACAUAGGAUUGCAGGGUAAAGAACUGCAGUGUUGUGUGCUUGCUGUAGUUAGGGUCAAAGCACUCAGAAUGAAAGUCACUCAAUUGACUGGGGAAGCAGGGAACUUGUAAACUGAUAGCUGCUUUAGUCAGGUAAACGUUGUCACAUACCUUCACAUAAGGGAUAGUAUAUUAUGGGUUGCAAACUUCAUUGUGCUCAGACUGGUGAAUAUAGGAUUUAGGCUUUUGCAUUUUAAAGAAGGUAUUAGGCUUUUGCAUUUUGAAGAAGAUAGUUUUCUUUCUAAUUCUGUCAUCUACUUAUUACUUACAUAAAGAAUAAUUUUAGAUCCCCUGCAUAAAAUUUCUUCCUUUUUUAUUUUUUUUUAAAUGCUAUAACUUAUUCCAGUCUUUAAUCUCUGGAAUUUUGCUCUUUAGAAUUUGGAAGUUAACUAGCAUUUUUCAAGCCUUUAUUACAUACCCUUGUCUUUCAUACUAACUUUUUUUUAUUAUUCUUUAGGUAAGAAUGAUUGAUGUUGGCUGACUUUGGAAUCUUUCUUACUUGAAGUGGAAUUAGAUGUUCUCAAGACAUACAACAUGGGCCAUCCAAGAAGGAAAGCCACAAAUUGCUUAGAUUGACAGACUCUUGGAUCAAGUGAGCUGUACCAGAAAAUGAGUCAAGACCAAAGAGGAAUGAACUUGACAUUAAUAAAGAUACAUUAUUUUAAAA